CGCAAUGGGCGAAAGCCUGACGCAGCAACGCCGCGUGAGUGAUGAAGGCCUUCGGGUCGUAAAGCUCUGUCGGGAGGGAAGAAGUGGUUGAGGGUUAAUACCCCUUGGUCUUGACGGUACCUCCGAAGGAAGCACCGGCUAACUCCGUGCCAGCAGACGCGGUAAUACGGAGGGUGCAAGCGUUGUUCGGAAUUAUUGGGCGUAAAGAGCGUGUAUGUGGUUUCUUAAGUCUGAUGUGAAAGCCCCGGGCUCAACCUGGGAAGUGCAUUGGAAACUGGGAAACUUGGGUACGGGAGAGGGUAGUGGAAUUCCUAGUGUAGGAGUAAGUUCCGUAGAUAUUAGGAGGGACACCGGUGGCGAAGGCGGUUACCUGGACCGAUACUGACGCUGAGACGCGAAAGCGUGGG
rnacentral:rRNA from 1 species